UACGUAGGGUCCGAGCGUUGUCCGGAAUUAUUGGGCGUAAAGAGCUCGUAGGCGGCUUGUCACGUCGGGUGUGAAAGACCGGGGCUUAACCCCGGUUCUGCAUUCGAUACGGGCUGGCUAGAGUGUGGUAGGGGAGAUCGGAAUUCCUGGUGUAGCGGUGAAAUGCGCAGAUAUCAGGAGGAACACCGGUGGCGAAGGCGGAUCUCUGGGCCAUUACUGACGCUGAGGAGCGAAAGCGUGGGGAGCGAACAGG
rnacentral:rRNA from 1 species